rnacentral:rRNA from 1 species
GACGAACGCUGGCGGCGUGCUUAACACAUGCAAGUCGAACGGACAGGCCCUGCUUUUGUGGGGUGCUCGAGUGGCGAACGGGUGAGUAACACGUGAGUAACCUGCCCUUGACUUUGGGAUAAAUUCAGGAAACUGGGGCUAUUACCGGAUAGGAGCUCCUGCUGCAUGGUGGGGAUUGGAAAGUUUCGGCGGUUGGGGAUGGACUCGCGGCUUAUCAGCUUGUUGGUGUGGUAGUGGCUUACCAAGGCUUUGACGGGUAGCCGGCCUGAGAGGGUGACCGGCCACAUUGGGACUGAGAGACGGCCCAGACUCCUACGGGAGGCAGCAGUGGGGAAUAUUGCACAAUGGGCGGAAGCCUGAUGCAGCAACGCCGCGUGCGGGAUGACGGCUUUCGGGUUGUAAACCGCUUUCGCCUGUGACGAAGCGUGAGUGACGGUAAUGGGUAAAGAAGCACCGGCUAACUACGUG